UACUUUUAAUCUUCGUCAACGACUGAGACAUCUUCAAGUUCCGGCGACAGGUUAGUAUUCUCGAUGGAACUCUAGGCAAGUUCACAAUAUCACUAGUGUUUCCGGUUGAUGGCAGCCUAGAAAGGCUGCGGGUACUUGCCUGUCUUUCAAUCACUAUAUCUGCAAUUCUGCCAACACCAACGCUAUUGGUAUCAAUUUCGUUGAAUUUGCCUCUCAUGAAAUUGCAG
rnacentral:misc_RNA from 1 species